rnacentral:rRNA from 1 species
AACGGGGGGAACUAGCGUUAUUCGUCAUGGAUUGGGCGUAAAGGGUGAGUAGACGGUCUAAACAGGUUUAUGCUAAAGUUCAGGAGCGCUUUUGAAGGGCAUACUUACGUGUAGACUUGAAUCCAGAAUAAGAAAACGGAACUCUCGGUGUAGAGGUAAAAAUUCAGCGAUAUCGCAGAGGACCAACAAUUGGCGAAAGCGGUUUCUACUAUGUGAUUGACGUUGAGUCACUAAAGCGUGGGGAGCAAACGGG